rnacentral:lncRNA from 1 species
UCAAACUCGGGACCUUGCGCUUGCGAGGCAGGCAGCGGAACCACUGAGCUAACUCCCUCAUCCUAGAAAUUUUAAAAUUAUAUUUGUGGCUUGUGUUUCUGUUGGACAGUGCUGGUAUACAAGGAUAUAAAGGGAAAAAAAUAGAAACAUGCCUUUCUUUCUCCCUGUUUCCUAUUUCCAUUCAUUUUUCCCUGGAGGUAACCAAUGUACUAAUAGUAGAAUUAUCUUUGAGAGAAGGGAUAUCAUUGAGGUUUUUUUUAAUUUAAAAAAGAUUUUCGUAGUUUUCUGAAAAACAUAUAUUACUUUUGAAUACAAAGAAAAUAUUAAUAGAAAAGUUACUAAUGUUUUUAAGGAAUUUUUAAGCUUUUUAUUAACAGUACCCUCUCGGAAAGAACAUGUAAGUGUACAGUGAAUUUUCACAAACUGAACCUACCUAUUUUACCAGCACUUAUAUCAAAAAAAUAAAACAUUCUGCCGCUUGCCUCACAAGCUCAAGGUCCUAAGUUUGAUCUCCAGUAUCAAAAAAAAAAAACAUAGAACAUUACCAGUUCAGAGGCAGUCAGAUGACAGACAGCCUGUGGCCUCAAUCAGGUUAUACAAGCCAAGAAUAGUUGUUACAUUUUAAAAUGGUUAUUUAAAUAUCUGUGCAGCCGCCUGCCCGGCAAGCAGAAGGACCCGAGUUCGAUCCCCAGUACCUAAAUAAAUAAAUAAAUAUGCAGUAGCUUUUUCUCCUUUGUUCACAAAACCUGAAAUAUUUCCUAAUUAACUGCUCAUAGAAAACUUUGCCAAAGUCUGAUCUAGGAAAAAUAAUAAUGUAAUGAACUUUAGUUGCUUUCUAUAUAGUUAUUGUUUAAGGAAAGAGAAAGUGUGUGGUAUGAAGUCCGGUAGAAGGCAUAUUUCUUACUGUGUCUUCUGUUCUAAAGUUGGAAAGCCGUUUUGGACCAGCUUACCCUGUUUUGAGUUUCAUGAUCAUGUAGUUACCGAUACUGUCUUUUUACAGAAUGAGUUGUCAGAUGGAUUAAACAAAAAGCGCUUACAAAUCUUAUUAAAAGGCUAUGGUGAAUAUCCAAUGAAGUACAGGAUGUUUAUUUGGCGCUCUCUGCUACAACUGCCUGAAAAUCAUACUGCAUUUAGUAGCCUAAUAGAUAAAGGUACUCAUGUGGCAUUUCUCAACCUUCAGAAGAAAUAUCCCAUUAAAAGUAGGAAACUACUCAGAGUAUUGCAGAGGUAUGUUCAGUAUAUUGCAACAAUGUAUAUGAAAUCUAUAAUAAUUGCAAUCCUUUGUUUAUAAAAUACUAUUUGGUCAGCUUUGAUUAUCCCUAAGUGGUAUGUUGAUUUGUUUUAAAAAAACAAGACAGAUAUACACAUGUAUGUAUGUAUAUCACAUAGAAAUGUUAGUUUGUGUUGUAUUCUGGAAAAUAACAAUCUUUCAGGUAAUCUAAAGGAAUAAAGUAGCAAAGUAGAAAGAGCUUUGAAUUUGGAGGUAAAAGAUUUAGUUUUGAAUCCUUGUUUCACCAUCUAAUAACUACGGUAUAGCAAUGUCAUUUUACUUCUUUGUCUUAAUUUCUUUAUUUGAAAAUGGGGCUAAUAUCACCAUCAUAAGAUUGUUGGGAUAAUUAGGUGAGAAUCUCUUAGAAUGCUUAUUCUACUGUCCAAUUCAUAAUAAGC